rnacentral:rRNA from 1 species
CAAGUCGAACGCGAAGUUUCCCUUCGGGGAGAAAGUAGAGUGGCGCACGGGUGAGUAACACGUAGGUAAUCUACCUUCGGAUGGGGAAUAACAAUCGGAAACGGUUGCUAAUACCGCAUAAUGCAGCGGCACCUAAUGGUGACAGUUGUUAAAGCGGGGGAUCGAAAGACCUCGCGUCUGAAGAGGAGCCUGCGGCGGAUUAGCUAGUUGGUAAGGUAAUGGCUUACCAAGGCUACGAUCCGUAACCGGCCUGGGAGGGCGGUCGGUCACACUGACACUGACAUACGGGUCAGACUCCUACGGGAGGCAGCAGUCGGGAAUUUUGGGCAAUGGGCGAAAGCCUGACCCAGCAACGCCGCGUGAAGGAUGAAAUCCCUCGGGAUGUAAACUUCGCAAGAACAGGAAGAAUAAGUAGGGGACAAUACCCCCUAUGAUGACGGUACUGUUUGUAAGCUCCGGCUAACUCCGUGCCAGCAGCCGCGGUAAUACGGGGGGAGCAAGCGUUGUUCGGAUUUACUGGGCGUAAAGGGCGCGUAGGCGGUCAGCACAAGUCAGUUGUGAAAUCUCCGAGCUCAACUCGGAAAGGUCAACUGAUACUGUGCGACUAGAGUGCAGAAGGGGCAACUGGAAUUCUCGGUGUAGCGGUGAAAUGCGUAGAUAUCGAGAGGAACACCUGCGGCGAAGGCGGGUUGCUGGGCUGACACUGACGCUGAGGCGCGAAAGCUAGGGGAGCGAACGGGAUUAGAUACCCCGGUAGUCCUAGCCUUAAACGAUGAAUGCUUGGUGUCUGGGGUUAUAAAGUCCCCGGGUGCCGUCGCUAACGCUUUAA